GACGAACGCUGGCGGCGUGCCUAAUACAUGCAAGUCGAGCGGAAUGAUGAAGAAGCUUGCUUCUUCUGAUUUUAGCGGCGGACGGGUGAGUAACACGUGGGCAACCUACCUUGUAGAUUGGGAUAACUCCGGGAAAACCGGGGCUAAUACCGAAUAAUCCAUUUUGCUUCAUGGCGAGAUGUUGAAAGACGGUUUCGGCUGUCACUACAAGAUGGGCCCGCGGCGCAUUAGCUAGUUGGUAGGGUAAUGGCCUACCAAGGCGACGAUGCGUAGCCGACCUGAGAGGGUGAUCGGCCACACUGGGACUGAGACACGGCCCAGACUCCUACGGGAGGCAGCAGUAGGGAAUCUUCCACAAUGGACGAAAGUCUGAUGGAGCAACGCCGCGUGAGUGAAGAAGGUUUUCGGAUCGUAAAACUCUGUUGUAAGGGAAGAACACGUACGAGAGUAACUGCUCGUACCUUGACGGUACCUUAUUAGAAAGCCACGGCUAACUACGUG
rnacentral:rRNA from 1 species